GGGGCCAUGCUGCAGGCACUGUCAUAUGCAGCAUGGUCCACUGGUGUCGUCCUAUGUCCUUCAUCUGUUGGUGAUGGUGUGGUAAAGACAUUCCUAGCCUUAGGACCAGGGAAACCAGACUCCGUGAUAGCAGAAGCUUCCACUACACUGGGUCUUGUGGGAUUUUUCUUUUUCGCCUUUCCCUUCUGGUGAAGAAUACUCUGCCCAUGGCUGUGUUUCUCACUCCAGUGUAUGCAUUCAUCUCAAAGCAUUUUCCUUUUCCACUCCCCGUCAUUCUAGACUACUACCAUCAAAGCGAAUUGCUGUAGCAAGCAGAGACGGCUUUGCCCUUGUUGGUGGAGAAGAGGGAAGGUGGCAACCGCUGCGCUAGGAAAGGAAGCUUCACGCGGCCGAGACUGCACCUACUACCUUCUCUACACCUCUGUGACAAAAGUGGUUGAUUUCUAAUACAUAUUCAAAGUGACUUUGCUCCAGACUAAGAUCACAGUGUGUAACUUUCACCCUUUAUACACCUGAAAGCCACUAUUCCAGCGUAUCCUGUCCCACUUUCUAUACCACAAAGCUGUCGGGAGUUGGCCCUGACUAUGUGCAAAGAGGCGCUGUACUGGACUGUAUGCAAAAGGUACUGGUGGCUGCUGGUCAGGACACACAGCCUCAGAAUGCGCUUUCACUCAGCCCAGCCUCUAAGCAUACCCCCGCCACACCCCCAUAGCCUCGAUGCAAUCUCAAAACAUAUCCUUCCCACACACCCUACAAUGCCCCCAGAAGUCCGAGACACGCUGCAAAUGCCCCGAUGCACCCUGCAAGCUUGAAUCAGCUGGCAGAAGGUGGGGGGACACACCUGAUGUUCCCAAUGCCCAAAACACGGUCCUAUAGGCUCGAGGCAUAGUCGAACCAUGCCCCUGCCAUGCCCACUUGACACUGAGGCCGUGCCCAGAGGCUCAAAAAUCCCUUGUGAAAUGCUGCUGAUACACCCAAGCAUCAUCUAACCACAUCCCUCCCAUCCCCUGAUAGGCAUCGUUGAAUGCCAACGCUGACAGGCUCCGACGCUAAACGCAUAAUUUAACCACAACUCUGACACGCCUCGCUCCACAGCCUAUCUAUGCUCUGUGAUUCCACCAAUUUAGAGAUGGGGGCUUUUUGAUCCCUUCCUCUUACCGGUGGCAGUGUUCCGCUUUAAUUAACUGGCAUUUGGGCCUCCCCCGGCUCCAGUUCCCUCUGUAGGUUGGUGGUGCUUCACCGGGGCGCCUGGGCUGGGGGCGGAUGUGAGUUCAAAUCUCCCCUGGGGUGUGUGUGCGCACAUCUGUCUGGGGUUGCGUUGGGUGUGCCUUCCUUCUUGCCUUUCAA